UUUGAGGCUACAGAAGUUGUACUAUAUGUGCAUAGCCUUGUGCUGGGUACUGACAGUCCUCUUCUGGAUGUACUUCGGACUGUACUACUUCCUCGACAAGUUCGCCGGCGACACGUGCGCGGCCCUCGAGGAGUACCAGCUGAACCCCAAGAACAGCAUGCUGGGCGCCAUCAUACCCUGGAGCGAGAAGAUGUCCGGCAGCGUCAUCCUGCACGAUGUUGGUGCAGGCAUACACGGCAUCAUAGACCAGGUACUCCAAAAGUAACGAAAGAAAAGGAGACGGUGCCAUCGAUGAUUUUCUUGACAGAUGCCAUCUUGUGUCUGUCAUGCUUAUCAUUCUUCUUGCAGUUUUUGCCAUAGUUGCAUCGGCAAUCGCGCUUCAGGGUGCUGUGUGAUUUCAUUCUAGAGCAGAGUCCAUCAAAGAUAUCGUCGGGAGAACAGCGCUUGAAGCGACGGCGACGAUUUACAACAUUACAGGAGCCAUUGAGAGGAUGCAGAACAUAUCGAAGCUAUACAACAUUAGUAGCCAAUCCUUUGAUCAUCUGAACUCCACAGUAAAGGCACUGAACUCUGAAGCUGUGGAAAUUCAGGCGAAGGCCGAAAAGAACAUGCGCUUGGUCAGCAAAGGCAUCAACACAUUAGAACUUGUCAUCAUUUUAACCGUGACGCUGAAUCUUGUCGUGGUCCUUGUCUUGCUAGUGGGAAGACCUUUGAGGCUACAGAAGUUGUACUAUAUGUGCAUAGCCUUGUGCUGGGUACUGACAGUCCUCUUCUGGAUGUACUUCGGACUGUACUACUUCCUCGACAAGUUCGCCGGCGACACGUGCGCGGCCCUCGAGGAGUACCAGCUGAACCCCAAGAACAGCAUGCUGGGCGCCAUCAUACCCUGCAGCGAGAAGAUGUCCGGCAGCGUCAUCCUGCACGAUGUUGGUGCAGGCAUACACGGCAUCAUAGACCAGGUACUCCAAAAGUAACGAAAGAAAAGGAGACGGUGCCAUCGAUGAUUUUCUUGACAGAUGCCAUCUUGUGUCUGUCAUGCUUAUCAUUCUUCUUGCAGUUUUUACCAUAGUUGCAUCGGCAAUUGCGCUUCAGGGUGCUGUGUGAUUUCAUUCUAGAGCAGAGUCCAUCAAAGAUAUCGUCGGGAGAACAGCGCUUGAAGCGACGGCGACGAUUUACAACAUUACAGGAGCCAUUGAGAGGAUGCAGAACAUAUCGAAGCUAUACAACAUUAGUAGCCAAUCCUUGAUCAUCUGAACUCCACAGUAAAGGCACUGAACUCUGAAGCUGUGGAAAUUCAGGCGAAGGCCGAAAAGAACAUGCGCUUGGUCAGCAAAGGCAUCAACACAUUAGAACUUGUCAUCAUUUUAACCGUGACGCUGAAUCUUGUCGUGGUCCUUGUCUUGCUAGUGGGAAGACCUUUGAGGCUACAGAAGUUGUACUAUAUGUGCAUAGCCUUGUGCUGGGUACUGACAGUCCUCUUCUGGAUGUACUUCGGACUGUACUACUUCCUCGACAAGUUCGCCGGCGACACGUGCGCGGCCCUCGAGGAGUACCAGCUGAACCCCAAGAACAGCAUGCUGGGCGCCAUCAUACCCUGGAGCGAGAAGAUGUCCGGCAGCGUCAUCCUGCACGAUGUUGGUGCAGGCAUACACGGCAUCAUAGACCAGGUACUCCAAAAGUAACGAAAGAAAAGGAGACGGUGCCAUCGAUGAUUUUCUUGACAGAUGCCAUCUUGUGUCUGUCAUGCUUAUCAUUCUUCUUGCAGUUUUUGCCAUAGUUGCAUCGGCAAUCGCGCUUCAGGGUGCUGUGUGAUUUCAUUCUAGAGCAGAGUCCAUCAAAGAUAUCGUCGGGAGAACAGCGCUUGAAGCGACGGCGACGAUUUACAACAUUACAGGAGCCAUUGAGAGGAUGCAGAACAUAUCGAAGCUAUACAACAUUAGUAGCCAAUCCUUUGAUCAUCUGAACUCCACAGUAAAGGCACUGAACUCUGAAGCUGUGGAAAUUCAGGCGAAGGCCGAAAAGAACAUGCGCUUGGUCAGCAAAGGCAUCAACACAUUAGAACUUGUCAUCAUUUUAACCGUGACGCUGAAUCUUGUCGUGGUCCUUGUCUUGCUAGUGGGAAGACCUUUGAGGCUACAGAAGUUGUACUAUAUGUGCAUAGCCUUGUGCUGGGUACUGACAGUCCUCUUCUGGAUGUACUUCGGACUGUACUACUUCCUCGACAAGUUCGCCGGCGACACGUGCGCGGCCCUCGAGGAGUACCAGCUGAACCCCAAGAACAGCAUGCUGGGCGCCAUCAUACCCUGCAGCGAGAAGAUGUCCGGCAGCGUCAUCCUGCACGAUGUUGGUGCAGGCAUACACGGCAUCAUAGACCAGGUACUCCAAAAGUAACGAAAGAAAAGGAGACGGUGCCAUCGAUGAUUUUCUUGACAGAUGCCAUCUUGUGUCUGUCAUGCUUAUCAUUCUUCUUGCAGUUUUUACCAUAGUUGCAUCGGCAAUUGCGCUUCAGGGUGCUGUGUGAUUUCAUUCUAGAGCAGAGUCCAUCAAAGAUAUCGUCGGGAGAACAGCGCUUGAAGCGACGGCGACGAUUUACAACAUUACAGGAGCCAUUGAGAGGAUGCAGAACAUAUCGAAGCUAUACAACAUUAGUAGCCAAUCCUUGAUCAUCUGAACUCCACAGUAAAGGCACUGAACUCUGAAGCUGUGGAAAUUCAGGCGAAGGCCGAAAAGAACAUGCGCUUGGUCAGCAAAGGCAUCAACACAUUAGAACUUGUCAUCAUUUUAACCGUGACGCUGAAUCUUGUCGUGGUCCUUGUCUUGCUAGUGGGAAGACCUUUGAGGCUACAGAAGUUGUACUAUAUGUGCAUAGCCUUGUGCUGGGUACUAACAGUCCUCUUCUGGAUGUACUUCGGACUGUACUACUUCCUCGACAAGUUCGCCGAUGACACGUGCGCGGCCCUCGAGGAGUACCAGCUGAACCCCAAGAACAGCAUGCUGGGCGCCAUCAUACCCUGCAGCGAGAAGAUGUCCGGCAGCGUCAUCCUGCACGAUGUUGGUGCAGGCAUACACGACAUCAUAGACCAGAGUUGCAUCAGCAAUCGCGCUUCAGGGUGCUGUGCGAUUUCAUUCUAGAGCAGAGUCCAUCAAAGAUAUCGUCGGGAGAACAACGCUUGAAGCGACGGCGACGAUUUACAACAUUACAGGAGCCAUUGAGAGGAUGCAGAACAUAUCGAAGCUAUACAACAUUAGUAGCCAAUCCUUUGAUCAUCUGAACUCCACAGUAAAGGCACUGAACUCUGAAGCUGUGGAAAUUCAGGCGAAGGCCGAAAAGAACAUGCGCUUGGUCAGCAAAGGCAUCAACACAUUAGAACUUGUCAUCAUUUUAACCGUGACGCUGAAUCUUGUCGUGGUCCUUGUCU